rnacentral:sRNA from 1 species
GCAUCGUCCAGCAUUACUAUUUCCGCGAAAUCGGCUA